rnacentral:rRNA from 1 species
UACGGAGGGAGCUAGCGUUGUUCGGAAUUACUGGGCGUAAAGCGCGCGUAGGCGGUUUUUUAAGUCAGAGGUGAAAGCCCGGGGCUCAACCCCGGAAUUGCCUUUGAAACUGGAAAACUUGAAUCUUGGAGAGGUCAGUGGAAUUCCGAGUGUAGAGGUGAAAUUCGUAGAUAUUCGGAAGAACACCAGUGGCGAAGGCGACUGACUGGACAAGUAUUGACACUGAGGUGCGAAAGCGUGGGGAGCAAACAGG